GAUGAACGCUAGCGAUAGGCUUAACACAUGCAAGUCGAGGGGCAGCGAGGGUAGCAAUACCUGUCGGCGACCGGCGCACGGGUGAGUAACGCGUAUGUAACCUGCCCGCAACAGGGGGAUAACCCGGCGAAAGUCGGACUAAUACCGCAUAAAACAGGGGUCCCGCAUGGGAAUAUUUGUUAAAGAUUUAUCGGUUGCGGAUGGGCAUGCGUACCAUUAGGUAGUUGGUGAGGUAACGGCUCACCAAGCCUUCGAUGGUUAGGGGUUCUGAGAGGAAGGUCCCCCAAACUGGUACUGAGACACGGACCAGACUCCUACGGGAGGCAGCAGUGAGGAAUAUUGGUCAAUGGGCGAGAGCCUGAACCAGCCAAGUCGCGUGAAGGAUGACUGCCCUAUGGGUUGUAAACUUCUUUUACAAGGGAAUAAAAUGAGAUACGUGUAUUUUAUUGCAUGUACCUUGGGAAUAAGCAUCGGCUAACUCCGUG
rnacentral:rRNA from 1 species